rnacentral:lncRNA from 1 species
AUUUGCGUGAUUCAAAUGUACAUCACGAACUUCAAGCAGAUCUAGUCAAACACAUAUGGGCACAGAGGGGAAUGUUCGGUGGUGAAUGAGAUUUAUAAGUUUGUGAGUUGAGAUUAUUGUACUAAUUAAGUUAUGAGUAUUUCCUUACUUGUAUUGUGUGCUUAUUGUAUUGCAUUUUAAGUUUCUCAUCAAUGUAUGUGUUUUAUUAACGACUAUUUGUAUUUCUCGUUUUUAUUAUUUAUAAAAUAAAAUAAAUUGCG